GUCUAUGGCCAUGCCACCCUGAACCUGCCCGAUCUCAUCUGAUUUCGGAAGCUAAGUGGGGUCGGACCUGGUUAGUACUUGGAUGGUAGACUACCUAGGAAGACUAGGUGCUGUAAGUG
rnacentral:rRNA from 1 species